rnacentral:rRNA from 1 species
GGGCCCGCACAAGCGGAGGAGCAUGUGGUUUAAUUCGAUGAUACGCGAGGAACCUUACCAGGGCUCGAACGCAGGAGGAAUACUCCCGAAAGGAAGUAGCCAGAAAUGGCCGCCUGCGAGGUGCUGCAUGGUUGUCGUCAGCUCGUGCCGUGAGGUGUCAGGUUAAGUCCUAUAACGAGCGCAACCCCUAUUCAUAGUUGCCAGCAUAUUACGGUGGGGACUCUAUGAAAACUGCCUGCGCAAGCAGUGAGGAAGGUGGGGAUGACGUCAAAUCAGCACGGCCCUUAUGUCCUGGGCUACACACGUGCUACAAUGGCCGGUACAGAAGGCCGCAACCACGCAAGUGGAAGCUAAUCCCUAAAACCGGUCUCAGUUCGGAUUGGAGUCUGCAACCCGACUCCAUGAAGCCGGAUUCGCUAGUAAUCGCACAUCAGCCAUGGCGCGGUGAAUACGUUCCCGGGCCUU